UCUGCCUCUACUGUCAAAGACAGAAUUGUAAUAUAUGACAAUAAUCCUUUGCAAAUUUUGUUUCAAAAAUGUAUGUAUUUAAAAAAUGGUUUAACAAUCGAUUAAUUGUUUAAACCGUUUUCGUUUGCUAACCAAGGAAAGUGUAAACCUCAUGGCGGUUAACAAAAAUUCGAUACUGAAACCUAACGAGGCGCAUCGACAGUGAUCCUGUAGGCGCAAUGUUUGGCCUUUAUUUAUGUGCAGCGAUUCGUAUCAUCCACCCAGGAGUCUCUGGAUUUGACCGUUCUUCCUCUAAGGCAGUGCUCUCUCUGUUAGUAGAACAGCGCGCCAGUCGUUCUGCUUUUUUCAAAAUGUGGAGAGGUCAUUUUGUCGCAAAUCUCGUUUUCGCUCAGGCCGUUACCAGAAGCUUAGGGCUUCGGCCUUUCAAAUGCUUUUUGUUGCUAACGAAGCAUGCCGAUAUGCUUUCUUUCGCCACAUUUGAGUUCUCACCCUUGCAGGAUUUACCUACCAACAUAUGAUGGAACUCAGGGUACAAACUGUAAAGUGUGCACAUAGGAUGUAAGUUCGAGAAUUAUGUAAAAAGGGACGUACGUAAAUUCUAGGUCCGUACAUUUGUACAGAGCAGGCCAGUCGGGGUUAUCCCGUUAUAAGUAAGAUCGGUCAAGUGACUCAACAACACAGGACACACCAAGUGCAUUUGCUGGACAGGGACGAUCAUGUUGUCGUAAGCAACUUCAAAGGACGCCAGAAAGCUAAAAAGAAACUGAAUCGUUGCCAAAUGGUUACGACUUUUUUUGUGGUUCCGUUGGAGAAAGCCCAGAUAAGUCUAGCCAGAUCAAGCCCGGUCAGACCUUCUACAGCUGGCAAGUCAUUGUUGUUAGACC